CCCUGCAUACGUGUGUCAGAUGAUGGUGUGUGUGUGUGUGUGUGUUGUUUGUGCCGUAGGGUGUGCGUUUGCUCAGAGCAGAAUGGAUCAGGAAAGAGAGUGCAGGCGGACGCCAUAAAGACACUGUUAGCACAGGAAAACGUUCCAGAUACAUUCGGCCGUCAGAGGAAGUCCACACUGAAGCUCAUGGACACACACAACCAUCUCAAAGUAAAUCACACACACACAGACCUUCACCAACGUGCAAACCAGCAGAACAUCUCUCUCACACACACAUUAGUUCAUACUGACACGAGGCCGGCCUGAAGUAAGCUUAAUGUAUGAUUUUUGAGGGAAUUAAAAUGUAUAUGAGCUGAUUUGAGCGUUUGAUGUCUGUAAUGCUUCAGAUAAGCAGCCACAGUGGCCUUAGAGAAAUCACACCUUGUUAUGUUGCUGAAGAACAUGCCCUUUCAGUUUCGUUUCAUUCAUGUCCUGAUCUUUCUUGAGUUUGGCCGUAUUGAUGCCGACGCACUGUGAUGUCAUCGUCUAACGUUUGGUUUCCCACUUUUUUUACUCUUGAAAAUAAAGGAGAUGACAGCGAGUGAACGUGACUCAUUCUCUCCGCGGCUCUGUGUUAAUGAUGGAGGGGGAGUCUGCUGUAGAUCAGUCUUGUGUCUCAGAGUCAUGUUGGCAGGGUUUUUCUGAGAGCAACGCCUCCGACUUUACGUUUGACUAUUUUUCUCUCGUCCUCUGAAAUAAGCAUUUUGCCUGGCGUCUGCUGAGCGUGAGAGAAAUCAAAGCACGAGCCUCGACUCAUCCGAGGCUCUGGAGUUCUGACACGAGAUCGAGAGGUUUGUUCGAGGUGAAGCCGUCACAGGCAGAAACGAGAUUGAGUUUCUUAAGCCCUAUUUGGUAAUUAUUUCUGUAGACGAAUGAGUGCAUGGAUAAAACUUAAGAAUUCAGAUGCCAAAUAAUUCACUGAGGACGAGUUUUUAGGACUUAAAAAAAAAAAAGGAAUCUAAUGAAUUGGACGUUUACUUCUCUCAUGGUGAAUUCUCC
rnacentral:lncRNA from 1 species